AAAAGCUCGUAGUGGAUUUCUGGUGGGAGUGACCGGUCCGUCCGUUCGGGAUGUGUACUAGCUGUCGUCUCUCGCCAUCCUUGGGGAGAACGGGCCUGGCAUUAGGUUGUCGGGUUCGGGAUCCCCAUCCUUUACUGUGAAAAAAAUAGAGUGUUUAAAGCAGGCUUAUGCCGUUGAAUACAUUAGCAUGGAAUAAUGAGAUAGGACUUUGGUGGUCUAUUUUGUUGGUUUGCACGCCAAGGUAAUGAUUAAUAGGGAUGGUUGGGGGUAUCCGUAUUUCGUAGUCAGAGGUGAAAUUCUUGGAUUUACGAAAGACGAACUACUGCGAAAGCAUUUACCAAGGAUGUUUUCAUUAAUCAAGAACGAAAGUUAGGGGAUCGAAGAUGAUUAGAUACCAUCGUAGUCUUAACCAUAAACUAUGCCGACUAGGGAUUGGCGGUCGUUACUGUUAUGACUCCGUCAGCACCUUAUGAGAA
rnacentral:rRNA from 1 species